GAUCAUGCUCAGGAUGAACGCUAGCUACAGGCUUAACACAUGCAAGUCGAGGGGCAGCAUGAACUUAGCUUGCUAAGUUUGAUGGCGACCGGCGCACGGGUGAGUAACACGUAUCCAACCUUCCGUUUACUCAGGGAUAGCCUUUCGAAAGAAAGAUUAAUACCUGAUAGUAUGGUAAGAUUGCAUGAUAGCACCAUUAAAGAUUUAUUGGUAAACGAUGGGGAUGCGUUCCAUUAGG
rnacentral:rRNA from 1 species